AUUAACACUUUGUCAGCCUCAG
rnacentral:piRNA from 1 species